rnacentral:rRNA from 1 species
UACGAAGGGGGCGAGCGUUGUUCGGAAUUACUGGGCGUAAAGGGCGCGCAGGCGGCUGUGAAAGUCAGAUGUGAAAGCCCCGGGCUUAACCUGGGAAUUGCAUUUGAUACUCUGGAGCUGGAGUGUGGGAGAGGAGAGUGGAAUUCCCAGUGUAGAGGUGAAAUUCGUAGAUAUUGGGAAGAACACCGGUGGCGAAGGCGGCCCUCUGGACCACAACUGACGCUGAGGCGCGAAAGCGUGGGGAGCAAACAGG